CGCUAGCUACAGGCUUAACACAUGCAAGUCGAGGGGCAGCAUGGUCUUAGCUUGCUAAGGCCGAUGGCGACCGGCGCACGGGUGAGUAACACGUAUCCAACCUGCCGUCUACUCUUGGACAGCCUUCUGAAAGGAAGAUUAAUACAAGAUGGCAUCAUGAGUCCGCAUGUUCACAUGAUUAAAGGUAUUCCGGUAGACGAUGGGGAUGCGUUCCAUUAGAUAGUAGGCGGGGUAACGGCCCACCUAGUCUUCGAUGGAUAGGGGUUCUGAGAGGAAGGUCCCCCACAUUGGAACUGAGACACGGUCCAAACUCCUACGGGAGGCAGCAGUGAGGAAUAUUGGUCAAUGGGCGAGAGCCUGAACCAGCCAAGUAGCGUGAAGGAUGACUGCCCUAUGGGUUGUAAACUUCUUUUAUAAAGGAAUAAAGUCGGGUAUGGAUACCCGUUUGCAUGUACUUUAUGAAUAAGGAUCGGCUAACUCCGUGCCAGCAGCCGCGGUAAUACGGAGGAUCCGAGCGUUAUCCGGAUUUAUUGGGUUUAAAGGGAGCGUAGAUGGAUGUUUAAGUCAGUUGUGAAAGUUUGCGGCUCAACCGUAAAAUUGCAGUUGAUACUGGAUAUCUUGAGUGCAGUUGAGGUAGGCGGAAUUCGUGGUGUAGCGGUGAAAUGCUUAGAUAUCACGAAGAACUCCGAUUGCGAAGGCAGCCUGCCUAAGCUGCAACUGACAUUGAGGCUCGAAAGUGUGGGUAUCAAACAGGAUUAGAUACCCUGGUAGUCCACACGGUAAACGAUGAAUACUCGCUGUUUGCGAUAUACAGCAAGCGGCCAAGCGAAAGCGUUAAGUAUUCCACCUGGGGAGUACGCCGGCAACGGUGAAACUCAAAGGAAUUGACGGGGGCCCGCACAAGCGGAGGAACAUGUGGUUUAAUUCGAUGAUACGCGAGGAACCUUACCCGGGCUUAAAUUGCAGAUGAAUUACGGUGAAAGCCGUAAGCCGCAAGGCAUCUGUGAAGGUGCUGCAUGGUUGUCGUCAGCUCGUGCCGUGAGGUGUCGGCUUAAGUGCCAUAACGAGCGCAACCCUUGUUGUCAGUUACUAACAGGUUCCGCUGAGGACUCUGACAAGACUGCCAUCGUAAGAUGUGAGGAAGGUGGGGAUGACGUCAAAUCAGCACGGCCCUUACGUCCGGGGCUACACACGUGUUACAAUGGGGGGUACAGAGGGCCGCUACCACGCGAGUGGAUGCCAAUCCCCAAAACCUCUCUCAGUUCGGACUGGAGUCUGCAACCCGACUCCACGAAGCUGGAUUCGCUAGUAAUCGCGCAUCAGCCACGGCGCGGUGAAUACGUUCCCGGGCCUUGUACACACCGCCCGUCAAGCCAUGGGAGCCGGGGGUACCUGAAGUGCGUAACCGCGAGGAGCGCCCUAGGGUAAAACUGGUGACUG
rnacentral:rRNA from 1 species